rnacentral:rRNA from 1 species
GCUCGGAAGGGUGCCGCGCCUGCUGUCGGGCCCGGAGAUCUGAUAGACUCUCCCGGCGCAGGACGCGCCCCGGCCGUGUGCACUUUCCGCGGGCAGAGCGCCACGACCGGUUCUCGGGCGGUCAGAAGGCGGCGGGGAUGGUAGGUGGGCGCCUCGGCGCACACUGGUAUAGCCCCGCCUGUCCCGAUCCGCCUGGGGACCGAGGAGCCGCCGCCGGCGUAGGCCGCCCCGCCCUCCCGGGAUGUUCGACUGGCAGAGACUGGGCAACCGUGUCUGCCGACCGCUUCCUUGGACGGACCUUGGGGUGGGCCCGCCGGCACAGGGUCGGUGGCGAAUCGGUCGGCCCUCCACCCGACCCGUCUUGAAACACGGACCAAGGAGUCUAACAUGCGCGCGAGUCGUUGGGUCGUACGAAACCCGAAGGCGAAGUGAAAGCGAGGGCCGUCUCGUUACGUGCUCAGGUGGGAUCCCGCCGGUCCCCGGACCUGGUGGGCGCACCACCGGCCCGUCUCGUCCGCGUUGUCGGUGAGGCGGAGCAUGAGCGUGCACGUUGGGACCCGAAAGAUGGUGAACUAUGCCUGAGUAGGACGAAGCCAGAGGAAACUCUGGUGGAGGUCCGCAGCGAUUCUGACGUGCAAAUCGAUCGUCAAACUUGGGUAUAGGGGCGAAA